UGGGGAAUCUUGCGCAAUGCGCGAAAGCGUGACGCAGCAACGCCGCGUGGGGGAAGACGGCCUUCGGGUUGUAAACCCCUUUCAGUUGGGACGAAGCUCCUGCCGUUAAUAGCGGUGUGGAGUGACGGUACCUUCAGAAGAAGCCCCGGCUAACUACGUGCCAGCAGCCGCGGUAAUACGUAGGGGGCAAGCGUUGUCCGGAAUUAUUGGGCGUAAAGAGCGUGUAGGCGGCCCGGUAAGUCCAUCGUGAAAGUCCAGGGCUCAACCCUGGAAGGCCGGUGGAAACUAUCGGGCUGGAGUCCGGAAGAGGCGAGUGGAAUUCCUGGUGUAGCGGUGAAAUGCGCAGAUAUCAGGAGGAACACCAAUGGCGAAGGCAGCUCGCUGGGACGGUACUGACGCUGAGACGCGAAAGCGUGGGGAGCAAACAGG
rnacentral:rRNA from 1 species